ensembl:lncRNA
AUGAGGACACACUCCAAGUCAACAAUGUAUUCAUCACCAAUCGCUCCAAAUUGUGUAACUGUAAAUAAAACACCUGAGAGAUCUGAAAUGACUGAGGAACAGCCUGUUAACUUUAACAUAGAGGCCAAACAGCAGCCAUGUUGGGCAACACCUUACCCCAAAGUACCACAGAAUGGAAUUGCUGUCGACUACUUCAGACCCCAGGAUGUCAAUGAAGAAGUCAACUAUGCUGAACCUCUCUCUCCUCACACUGAAGAGGCAGGAGUUGAUUUUAUAGUGAUGCAUGGAUCCUCUGACCUUGAGUAUCAAUCCAUUUGGAAUAGGGAAAAGGAAAAAGAGGAUCAGAACAUAGUCAGAACUUGGCCCGCUGAAGAGACAACCCUUAUGGAAUCUAACACUGUGCCAUCGGAUGGUCAAAAACUCUGCAGCCCUUCAGUGAGCUAUGGAAAUGCACAAUCUACUUGUUCAAUGACAGAGGCACAUUCAGAUUUCUCAGUGAAUGAUGAAAAUGAUGGAAAUCUUGAAAUGUCUAAUGAAAAAGAGGAACCUCUCCCAGAUCACCCUUACAGUCACAUGAAUGAAUUGAAGGAAGGACACCUAGAAACCACAGAGAAUUAUGAAGAAUUUGUUGAAAAUGAAGACUUGGAAUGCAAGACAUUCACAAACAGUCAAGAAUCUGAGUGUGGGGUGGGGAGAGGUGUUUACAACAAUCCAGAAGAGUUCAAACAAGAGAAGGAUAUUUCAUAUAAAUCUACUCAACCAUCCCUCUGCUCGGAAGAUGCGUUUCACCAUGUUAGAAGACUGGAGGAAGGUGUUGUAAGUCUCAUCAAAGAUAAUGACGAAAAGGAUAUCUCUAACAAAUAUGAGAUUCAACUGGAAGAUGAAUUGCAACCCCAUGGAUAUUUGAAGGAUGAAAAGUUGAAAAGAUUGGAAGGAUUAAAUGAGGAAAAUGAUAUGACAAAAGUCGUUGAUGAGUUCAGCCAGCUGGAGAAUAUCUCAUAUGAAUCUGCUCAAACUUCAAGCUGUUUAAAAGAGAUAUUUCCCCAAGCUGAAAGUGUAAAGGAAAGUGAUUUCAAUCUUUCCAUAAGGGAUGAAGAACAUGAUAUGACUAAUGAAAGCGAGCAACCAGAUGAACUGAGGCCCUAUGGGAAUGUAACCACUGGAUGGGAAGAAGUGGGGUGCUUCAGCGAGAAAAACGUAAUGAGCGAAAGAAUGGAUGGUCGUGAAGAAGGAAAUGAUCUCCUGAAAGAGGAAGAGAUGUUAAUUCACAGAGAAUCCCAACCCAAUCAAACUGAGCAAAAUAUACCAGCUAAUGGACAGAAACUCAAUGCAGAUGAGGAAGAACACCUACUCUCAGGUGGAGAAAAAUGUAAUCUAUCUGACCAAGAGAAUGUACUCUCAGGUGGAGAAAAAUGUAAUCUAUCUGACCAAGAGAAUGUAAUCUCAGGUGGAGAAAAAUGUAAUCUAUCUGAACAAGAGAAUGUACUCUCAGGUGGAGAAAAAUGUAAUCUAUCUGACCAAGAGAAUGUACUCUCAGGUGGAGAAAAAUGUAAUCUAUCUGAACAAGAGAAUGUACUCUCAGGUGGAGAAAAAUGUAAUCUAUCUGAACAAGAGAAUGUACUCUCAGGUGGAGAAAAAUGUAAUCUAUCUGAACAAGAGAAUGUACUCUCAGGUGGAGAAAAAUGUAAUCUAUCUGACCAAGAGAAUGUACUCUCAGGUGGAGAAAAUCUUAAGGUAUCUGAACAAGAGCAAAUUGGUGAAAAACUGAAUCUAUCCGACAAUGACAAAGAGCAUGAAGAUGACACUCCCAGUACAUCUAUUUCGGGGAGGGCUGAGCUAAUAGGCAACAGCUACGCUCAGGAAAACACACUGGCUGACACACGUCCCCUAAUCCGGUACAAGAGCGACGAGACAGAUGCCAAUACUCAGGCCUCAUACAUGGGAGAAAGUGAUGCCAGUGAUGGAGAAGAGGACAAGGAGGUUGGACAGACAGGAUUAUGCACCUUGGGUGAAGGUAAAUCCAAACGGUUUGAUACAAUGGAAGACCUGUAUGAAGAGUCCGAAGGCCAUGCCAUGGAUCAGGAAGGUAAGAUGGGCUCCACACAAACAGAGGACACGGAUGGUAGCCAAGCAAUGGGGUAUGGCACAUUAGGGAACAAUGACAAACAUGCUGAAGAUUCAUGGAACCCGAAGGCAGAAGAGGAGCAAUUCUACGAAGAACUUGCAACCACUGGAGGGUACUCAAACAUUUACAGUGAUGAGGAUUAUAAUGAAGAGAAAAUUGAUAGAUUGGUGGAGCAGGAGUUAGAGAAUUUAUCUAUAUCCAGUUACAGUGAACAUUUUAUUGGGCCGAUGAGUAAGAGCGGGUCAGCAUUAAGCCUUCAGGCAAAAGACAUGAGCAGUGAAGAGGUGGAGCAGAUACACUCAGUAAACCUGAAUCAAUCUGGACAAAUACCUCUAAGGGAAGAAAAACUAAAUGAAUCUCAGCUAGACCAUAUACCUUCAAGCGGCGAUGAACUGAAUCUAUCAGAGUCAGAGGAAAUACCUUCAGGUAGAGAGACACUGAGUCAAUCUGAGCAGGAGUAUAAACCUUCAGAGACUAUGUCUUCGCUGCACUCCAGGAUUCUAAUGACAUCUGAAAACACAUCUCUUAGAGGCCAUGCAGUCAAAAUGUCCCAAGCAGAAUACUUGACUCCAGAUGUUUUUAGUACAGAACUGGGAUCUGACACCGACGAACAAGAAAAAGAGAAUGACCAGGAACUGUCUGCGCUGAAUGAUGUGAAUCAAACUAAAGAUCAUUCCAACCAUAGCAAAGUGAACAGCAGGCCUGGGAUUCCAACCGAUAUGAACAAAUCUGAUAUUGAGUCCAACAGCUCAGAUGAUGACUCGCCAAAUGCUAGCCAGUAUUUGGAACCUGUCACUAGAGCAAAUGUAACGAGAGAUCAGGAAGACUUGUUAGAUGUGGCUAUCUCUCAGGAAAGGCAUUCCUCUGUGGAUUGCUCUUCUCUUCUGCAACAUUCUACUGGGGAGGUCACAAAUGAGGAAACAACCCAUGAAGAUCUUCAGGCAGACAAAGCGGAAGUCUUCAAAAGUCCAAAUAAACACCCAGAGUCUGAAGCCUUGGCUAACAACGUUGUCGGGGGGGAUCUGGAGAAUCCGCAGAUGGCCAAUUGGAACACAAAUAUGGAGGGUGACACAACUAAAGCUUCCUCCAUCGAAGACGAUGAGAAAUGA